GACGAACGCUGGCGGCGUGCUUAAUACAUGCAAGUCGAACGGAAGGGCCCUGCUCUUGCGGGGUGCUUGUUAGGCGCAGGGGUGAGUAACACGCGUGUAACCUGUCCCUGACUUUGGGAUAACUCUAGGAAAAUGGGGCUAAUACACGAUAGGAGAUCCUGAAGCAUGGUGGGGGUUGGUAAGAUUCGGCGGUUGGGGAUGGUAUGGCGGGUUAUCGGCUUGUUGGUGGGGUAGUGACUUACAAAGGUUUUGACGGCUAGCCGGCCUGGGAGGGUGACCGGGCACAUUGGGACUACGGUACGGCGCAGACGCCUACGUGAGGCAGCAGUGGGAAAUAUUACACAAUGGGGCGAAGCCUGAUAUGGCGGCCCCGCGUGCGGGAUGACGGCCUUUGGGUUGUAAACCGCUUUCGCCGUAGACGUAGCGUGAGUGACGGUAAUGAGUAAAGAAGCACCGGCUAACUACGUG
rnacentral:rRNA from 1 species